AAGAACAUUCAUUAUUAUUUACACAAACUACAAAAACACGGCAUCAUCUGCGUAGAGAGAAAUAAAAUGAGUGUGAUCUGCAGUUCAAUCUCAGAAAUAUUUACAUAACAAGUAAAGAGAAGCCAAAAGAAAAUAACUCCAAAUGACUAAAAUGUCAUAGACAUGAUUACUAACUUUACAACAUGAAAUAAAUCACAUUUUGUAAUUUAUUUCAACAGUGAGUAUGUUUGA